rnacentral:rRNA from 1 species
AUUGCACGCUGGCGGCAGGCCUAACACAUGCAAGUCGAGCGAGGGGCGGACGGGUGAGUAAUGCUUGGGAAUCUAGCUUAUGGAGGGGGAUAACUACGGGAAACUGUAGCUAAUCCCGCGUACCAUAGGAUGAGCCCAAGUGGGAUGAGGUAUGUGGGGAGGUUAAGGCUCACCACGCCGACGAUCUCUAGCUGGUCUGAGAGGAUGACCAGUCACCCUGGGACGGAGACGCGUCCCAGACUCCUACGGUAGGCAGCAGUGGGGAAUAGUGCGCAGUGGGGGCAACCUGACGCAGCCAUGCCGCGUGAAUGAAGAAGGCCUUCGGGUUGUAAAGUUCGUUCGGUAGCGAGGCGUUAACUACAGAAGAAGCACCGGCUAACUCCGUGCCAGCCGCCGCGGUAAUUC